rnacentral:tRNA from 1 species
GGUGGGGUGACCGAGUAGCUAGGUUGCGGCUCGCAAGGCCGUAUACGCAGGUUCAAGUCCUGCCCCCACCU